rnacentral:rRNA from 1 species
CGCGAUUCGCCCUUCGGGGCGCAGCAGGCGCGAAAACUUUGCAAUGCGGGAAACCGUGACAAGGGAACUCUGAGUGCCCGUAAAAUCGGGCUGUCCAUCGGUUUAAAUAACCGGUGAAGAAAGGGCCGGGCAAGACCGGUGCCAGCCGCCGCGGUAAUACCGGCGGCUCGAGUGGUGGCCACUAUUACUGGGCUUAAAGCGUUCGUAGCUGGUCUGUUAAGUCUCUGGGGAAAUCUUCCGGCUUAACCGGAAGGCGUCUCAGGGAUACUGGCAGACUAGGGACCGGGAGAGGUGAGAGGUACUCCAGGGGUAGGAGUGAAAUCCUGUAAUCCUUGGGGGACCACCUGUGGCGAAGGCGUCUCACCAGAACGGCUCCGACAGUGAGGGACGAAAGCUGGGGGAGCAAACCGGAUUAGAUACCCGGGUAGUCCCAGCUGUAAACGAUGCGCGUUAGGUGUAUCGGUGACCACGAGUCACCGAGGUGCCGAAGAGAAAUCGUGAAACGUGCCGCCUGGGAAGUACGGUCGCAAGGCUGAAACUUAAAGGAAUUGGCGGGGGAGCAC